GACGAACGCUGGCGGCGUGCCUAAUACAUGCAAGUUGAGCGCUGAAGGUUGGUACUUGUACCAACUGGAUGAGCAGCGAACGGGUGAGUAACGCGUGGGGAAUCUGCCUUUGAGCGGGGGACAACAUUUGGAAACGAAUGCUAAUACCGCAUAAAAACUUUAAACACAAGUUUUAAGUUUGAAAGAUGCAAUUGCAUCACUCAAAGAUGAUCCCGCGUUGUAUUAGCUAGUUGGUGAGGUAAAGGCUCACCAAGGCGAUGAUACAUAGCCGACCUGAGAGGGGGAUCGGCCAAAUUGGGACGGAGACACGGCCCAAACUCCUACGGGAGGCAGCAGUAGGGAAUCUUCGGCAAUGGACGAAAGUCUGACCGAGCAACGCCGCGUGAGUGAAGAAGGUUUUCGGAUCGUAAAACUCUGUUGGUAGAGAAGAACGUUGGUGAGAGUGGAAAGCUCAUCAAGUGACGGUAACUACCCAGAAAGGGACGGCUAACUACGUG
rnacentral:rRNA from 1 species